rnacentral:rRNA from 1 species
UACGUAGGGGCCUAGCGUUGUCCGGAAUUAUUGGGCGUAAAGGGCUCGUAGGCGGUCUGUCACGUCGGGAGUGAAAACUCAGGGCUUAACCCUGAGCCUGCUUCCGAUACGGGCAGACUAGAGGUAUGCAGGGGAGAACGGAAUUCCUGGUGUAGCGGUGAAAUGCGCAGAUAUCAGGAGGAACACCGGUGGCGAAGGCGGUUCUCUGGGCAUUACCUGACGCUGAGGAGCGAAAGUGUGGGGAGCGAACAGG